rnacentral:rRNA from 1 species
GUAGGUGGCAAGCGUUGUCCGGAAUUAUUGGGCGUAAAGCGCGCGCAGGCGGGGUCCUUUAAGUCUGAUGUGAAAAGCCCACGGGCUCAACCGUGGAGGGUCAUUGGAAACUGGGGGACUUGAGUACAGAAGAGGAAAGCGGAAUUCCAAGUGUAGCGGUGAAAUGCGUAGAGAUUUGGAGGAACACCAGUGGCGAGGGCGGCUUUCUGGUCUGUAACUGACGCUGAGGCGCGAAAGCGUGGGGAGCAAACAGGACUAGAUACCCUGGUAGUCCACGCCGUAAACGAUGAGUGCUAAGUGUUAGGGGGUUUCCGCCCCUUAGUGCUGCAGCUAACGCAUUAAGCACUCCGCCUGGGGAGUACGGCCGCAAAGGCUG